AUACGUAGGGGGCGAGCGUUGUCCGGAAUUACUGGGCGUAAAGGGCGUGUAGGCGGCCGCGCAAGUCAAGUGUGAAACGCCACGGCUUAACCGAGGCAUUGCACAUGAAACUGCGUGGCUUGAGUGCAGGGGAGGGAAGUGGAAUUCCUAGUGUAGCGGUGAAAUGCGUAGAUAUUAGGAGGAACACCAGUGGCGAAGGCGACUUUCUGGACUGUAACUGACGCUGAGGCGCGAAAGCGUGGGUAGCAAACAGGAUUAGAUACCCUGGUAGUCCACGCUGUAAACGAUGGGUACUAGGUGUGGGUAGUUCACUCUAUCCGUGCCGCAGCAAACGCAAUAAGUACCCCGCCUGGGGAGUACGGCCGCAAGGUUGAA
rnacentral:rRNA from 1 species